rfam:Picea glauca, whole genome shotgun sequence.
UAUUAUGUACAUGCCUACAUUUUUAAUCCACUUGAUCCCAUUAGAAAUCCAUAGUUAAGCAUGCUUGGGUUAGAGUAUUACUGGGAUGGGUGACCUCCCAAGAAGUCCUAGUGUUUUAUAUGCC